rfam:Canis lupus familiaris chromosome 9, whole genome shotgun sequence.
GCCUGGCUGGCUCAGUCAGUAGAGCAUGUGAGUCUUGAUCUCAGGGUCAUGAGUUCAAGUCCCAUGUUGGGUA